CAACGAUGAAGAACGCAGCGAAAUGCGAUACCUAGUGUGAAUUGCAGAAUUCCGCGAAUCAUCGAGUUUUUGAACGCAAGUUGCGCCCGAGGCUCGUACCGAGGGCAUGUCUGUCUGAGCGUCCA
rnacentral:rRNA from 1 species